rnacentral:lncRNA from 12 species
GCAGGCUGGGGGUGCGGGGCCCUUAGUAACAGGGGAGGAUGGGAGAUGGUGGCUGAGGAGCUGUGGGCACUCACAGUGAAUUGGGAUGAUUGGAAAAACCUUGAGAGAAAUUAAUUCAGAGUCGGUCUGCAGUAAGCCCUGGACUGCACUGAGCUAGUGUGGAGUUGUUAUGGAGCGAUUCUUAAUUUUAAAAAUACUGCAGAUAUUUGCUUCACAGUUGUCAUUUUUUAUAGGGAGAGGGAGGCUUGCCAAAGAAGUUGAUGUGGGCUUUUCUGGGGUAUUACCCACUGUUCUAACAGGUGGGAGAUGAAGGAGCAGGACACUUUGUGAAGAUGGUGCACGAUGGGAUAGAGUACGGCGAUAUGCAGCUCAUCUGUGAGGCUUACCACCUGAUGGAAGAUGUGCUGGGCAUGGAGCAUAACAAGAUGGCAGAGACGGAUGCUGACAGAGGAGCUGCCCUGCUGAUGAUGGGAGGGCUGUGGCUGCCAGUCUGCACAUCUCCUGCUGACUACAGUUCCACCUGCAAGUGGACACAGGUGCUCUGUCCUGGUUUGAAGGAUGAGAGACACUCAUCGCAUAUGGAGGAACAUAAGAAACACAGAAUUAUCGUUCAUCAGCAUCAAAAUGAUCAAGCAGCAGGUGCUGGUAACAAAUGUGACUCCCUAAGAAGAGCAGCAGAAGAGAGGAGGAAGAGGAAGAACCAGCAUGUGUGAAGUCAAGAUUGGCAACCACAUUCAGCAUAGCCAGAAAUAGAUUCCAGUCCAGCUGCUGUCCCUGUCUUGACUUGUGCUUCUAGCAGGUUCUUCACCUUCUGUGGGCCUCAGUUUCAUUUUCUAUCAGUGGAGACUUUAAGAUGGACCUUAGGAUUUUGGCUUGAGAAACCACUGUCUAGGAGCUUGCUGAACCCACUUGAAUUGGAUACACAACUGUGAAUGUAUCUUUUUGGGAAGAGAGUGCCUAAAACCUUCAUUAAAAUCUAAAAGACCUGUGGCCAGAACAAUUUAAUGAACCUCUGUAUUGGAUGGUCUCCAUAACCCAUUCCAACUUGGAUGUUCCAGGUUUCUAGAACAUUUUAUAACAACAGCAAGUGGACGUCACAUUCACUUCAUGCCCACUGCCUGUGAUGGAGCUUCAUCUAACAACUUCUGCUUACACUGACCCCUGCCUCCACUAAUUUCCUAUCCAUUUUAGCUAAACCAUUCAAUUAUUCAUUUAUCAAGUAUUUCCUAGACAACUAACAAAUAUUGAUUGGGCACCUACUAUGUGUUGUUAGACAUUGUCAGAGUGAAGCCAAACACUCAAAUCAGCCACACUUAAUGAGCCAAGGAACAUAUUUGGAAUCUCUACCAUACUUUAGUACCAUAGGAACUCUGGGUUUUAACUUUGGCUGAAUAUCAGGUAUCAUUACAGCUCUUAUGUUGGGCCUCGGCCUAGACCUAUUAAAUCAGAAUUAUUGGGGAUUAGGACCUAGGCAGCAGGAUUUUUUUUUUUUUUUUUUAGGUUGCCCCCUUGCCCCAGCUGAUUACAAAAUGUAACCAAGAUUGAGAAGUAUUGAUUGGGAUGCUGAUCUCUGUCCCAAAUAACACAUUUGUGUUAAGAUAGCACAAGGGACAAUCAGGGAACCCAUAUAUGAUUGUUUAUAAUUGGAAAAUUGUGCACGUUUCUCAGUGCAUUUGUAAUAAAAUCCAAACCAUAGCUACA